AUGCUGAUAUGCUAAUUUUUUUUUAAGAAAAGAAACAAUGAUAUGCUGAAUUUUUCAAAACAAAAAGCAAUGUAUGUUGUUUGGAAGGAGAUGAGUAGGGAGAGAAAAUGUAUAGAUUAACUGAUAGCAGGAGAGAGAAUCACAGACAUGGCUCAUUUGUUAACAUUUAGAAGUGCAUGUCCUGUGG